rfam:Gemmatimonas aurantiaca T-27 DNA, complete genome.
GGCUCCAUCGUCUAUCGGUUAGGACGCGACCCUUUCAAGGUCGAGAGACGGGUUCGACUCCCGUUGGAGCUA